rnacentral:rRNA from 1 species
AUUGAACGCUGGCGGCAGGCCUAACACAUGCAAGUCGAGCGGAUGAAGGGAGCUUGCUCCUGGAUUCAGCGGCGGACGGGUGAGUAAUGCCUAGGAAUCUGCCUGGUAGUGGGGGAUAACGUCCGGAAACGGGCGCUAAUACCGCAUACGUCCUGAGGGAGAAAGUGGGGGAUCUUCGGACCUCACGCUAUCAGAUGAGCCUAAGUCGGAUUAGCUAGUUGGUGGGGUAAAGGCCUACCAAGGCGACGAUCCGUAACUGGUCUGAGAGGAUGAUCAGUCACACUGGAACUGAGACACGGUCCAGACUCCUACGGGAGGCAGCAGUGGGGAAUAUUGGACAAUGGGCGAAAGCCUGAUCCAGCCAUGCCGCGUGUGUGAAGAAGGUCUUCGGAUUGUAUAGCACUUUAAGUUGGGAGGAAGGGCAGUAAGUUAAUACCUUGCUGUUUUGACGUUACCAACAGAAUAAGCACCGGCUAACUUCGUG